CCUACGGGCGGCAGCAGUGAGGAAUAUUGGUCAAUGGUCGGGAGACUGAACCAGCCAAGCCGCGUGAGGGAGGAAGGUACAGAGUAUCGUAAACCUCUUUUGUCAGGGAACAAAGGCGGGGACGUGUCCCCGGAUGAAUGUACCUGAAGAAAAAGCAUCGGCUAACUCCGUGCCAGCAGCCGCGGUAAUACGGAGGAUGCGAGCGUUAUCCGGAUUUAUUGGGUUUAAAGGGUGCUCAGGCGGUCUGUUAAGUCAGCGGUCAAAGCCCGGGGCUCACCCCCGGCCCGCCGUGGAAACUGGCAGGCUCGAGUUGGAGAGAAGUAUGCGGAAUGCGCGGUGUAGCGGUGAAAUGCAUAGAUAUCGCGCAGAACUCCGAUUGCGAAGGCAGCAUGCCGGCUCCACACUGACGCUGAGGCACGAAAGCGUGGGUAUCGAACAGGAUUAGAUACCCGAGUAGUC
rnacentral:rRNA from 1 species